UACGUAGGGCGCAAGCGUUGUCCGGAAUUAUUGGGCGUAAAGAGCUCGUAGGCGGCUUGUCACGUCGGGUGUGAAAGCUCGGGGCUUAACCCCGGGUCUGCAUUCGAUACGGGCUGGCUGGAGUGUGGUAGGGGAGAUCGGAAUUCCUGGUGUAGCGGUGAAAUGCGCAGAUAUCAGGAGGAACACCCGUGGCUAAGGCGGUUCUCUAGUACGGUACUGACGCUGAGACGCGAAAGCGUGGGGAGCGAACAGG
rnacentral:rRNA from 1 species